rnacentral:rRNA from 1 species
GACGAACGCUGGCGGCGUGCUUAACACAUGCAAGUCGAACGGAGAUUAUUAAUGAAGCUUGCGAUUUAAUAAUCUUAGUGGCGGACGGGUGAGUAACGCGUGGGCAACCUACCCAUAAGCGGGGGAUAACAGUUGGAAACGACUGCUAAUACCGCAUAAGCUAUUGAGGUCGCAUGACCUAAAUAGUAAAGGUGGCGAAAGCUAUCACUUAUGGAUGGGCCCGCGUCUGAUUAGCUAGUUGGUGGGAUAGCAGCCUACCAAGGCAACGAUCAGUAGCCGGCCUGAGAGGGUGGACGGCCACACUGGGACUGAGACACGGACCAGACUCCUACGGGGGGCAGCAGUGGGGGAUCUUGCACAAUGGGCGAAAGCCUGAUGCAGCGACGCCGCGUGAGCGAAGAAGGCCUGGUUGUAAAGCUCUGUCUGGAGGGACGGAACAAAAUAGACGGUAACCGUCCGGAGGAAGCCACGGCUAACUAACGUGCCAGCAGCCGCGGUAAC